ACAAUACUGCUGAUGUCAUAAACGCCCCUUUGCCGAUACACUAACACACAUGUGUCUCUUCCAUGUCUUCAAAGGACUCCUUGGGCCUCUCUAAGGUAGCAGACAGAACCAAAGUCCAUGUUGGAUAAUCAAUUAAUCAUUUAUCAAGUAAUAGAGAAGGAAGUGCUUAAAGUGGACAACCAUAGUUUGGAAAUCAAGGAGGCUGUGAUGGGAACGGAAGUGGAGGUGGUAAAGGCUUCAGCAAUGGUGAUGACAUUGAUAAGGACCGGUUUACCCUCAGGAGAGCCAUCCCUCCUGUCCAUUCACUAGAGGAUCUGAAGCUGCCAUUAUCUUAACAUUAUGGGUUAGGAGGUAAAACCUGGCCCAUGCUGGGCCUCCCAGAGGUCUUCCCAGCAUUGCUCAGACCUGAGCAGGAAGGCAAAUAGCGUGGUGAGAGGGAGAGAACUUCACGCUCUCCACUUGAAUCUGUAAUAAUGAAAGACCAAAUCUGAGAGUGGAAACGGUCCUAGCCUCAUGCAGGAUGAAGCCAACACAGAAAGAAAAGAGUUGGUGGGAGACCAGAAAAGCCCACGUGGUGCUUGAGUACCUACCUUUGCCACCACUGACUUACAUCAGCCAAAAAUUCACGGCCAACACUGUUUGAUUCAAUCAUCAGCAAUCAACAGAAUCUUUUAAUACAGUUCCAGGGCCAUAGAAAGCACCCAAUAAAUGCUUUUCAAACCUGUUUUCCACUGUUGUGCUUCAGCAAGAAGGAGAAAAGACAACUAUGCAUGAGAAAUGUGUUCAAACCACACUCCAUUAGGGCUCAGUGGGCCACGAAGUCAGCUCACUCCAUCAGCCUCCUGUAGAGCCCUUAAAAUAUAGCAGUGCCCAGAUCCCACCCCGGAUCCCUGAAUGAGAAUCUUUAGGGAUGGGGCCUAGGUGCCUGUGUAUUGUUAAAAAUUUCAUGGGUGGACUUCUGACUAAGUAAACACAGGUGCUUAUCUCCACUCCUUCCUAAAACCCCAUAAAAUGACAGCAAAAGAAUUAAGGAGCUAAAAAUAUACAAAAGCAAAAAGAACAGGAGUAGAGCCAACAGCAGAUGAGAAAUGUCAAUAACAUUUUGUACCAUGGAAACUGCAUGGAAGAGUCAACAAAGAAAACCGAAUCUAAGUGUCCACAGGAAGGCAAACAGAGGCAAGCCUGUUUGCACCACAGGACCCCAGAAAGGCCCAGGAACUGAUCAUAGGUACUAGGUACCCUGAAAGACAGAGGAGCAAGGUUGGGCUGAAAACAGGAGGAUUGGUUACAACCCUGUGCAAUAAGCAGUUUGUGCCUCGAUAAAUGUCCCACCCACAUUGCCAGGCCACAGCCCUUCCUUCAAUAGGCAGAAGAUGAGGUUCACUCUCUAGUGGGGGAUCAACAAGCCAGGUGCUGGAAUCCAGGACUCAGGCACAGAUGAGAGCAAGAUGAGAUGUUCCUAAGAUUAGGAGAUUUAAAAUAUCGCAGGCUGAAUGGAGAGAACCUCCAUCUCUCUUCCCUUCCUGCUUCCCCAGUGCUGGAACUGAACUUAAACCUUCAAGA
rnacentral:lncRNA from 1 species